rnacentral:tRNA from 1 species
GAGGCUGUGGUUCAGUGGUAGAGCACUUGCCUACCAUGCAAAGGUUCGAUCCCCUGCACCA